UGUGCUAUCUCUCUAUCUCUGCUCUCUCUCUCUGUUCUCUCUCUCUCUGCUUUCUCUCUCUGCUUUCUCUCUGCUAUCUCUCUAUCUCUGCUCUCUCUCUCUGUUCUCUCUCUCUCUGCUUUCUCUCUCUGUUCUCUCUCUGCUCUCUCUCUGCUUUCUCUCUCUGCUUUCUCUCUGCUAUCUCUCUAUCUCUGCUCUCUCUCUGCUAUCUCUCUAUCUCUGCUCUCUCUCUCUUCUCUCUCUCUCUGCACUCUCGCUAACUCUACCUCUAUCUCCCUUCCCUCUCUGUCUACCUCUACCUCCCUUCCCUCUCUGUCUACCUCUACCUCCCCUCUCUCUCCCUCUGUGUUCUGAAUGCGAGUGGUGGGUCCGUGCUAGUGAGCCUCCAGCUGCCCAUCAGGAGGGUGAGGGGAAUAGUGGGUUAGAUGAGGAUGGGCUGCUAGUUUCCAUGCCAACCUAUAGAAUGUCUCCAAAGCCUGGCACGGGGCAGACCAUAAGUCCCCCCUCCGGAAAGAUGCCAUGCUGAACGUAAUCAUGGGCUGCACUCAAGGUGUGAAUGAGAUGAACAGAAACCCCUCUGUGUCUGGUAAUAAUAAUAGUUUGGUGGGGGCUUGUAUGUGUCCUAUUUCACACAUGUCCAAGUGGGUAUUAUAGACCUGUGGGAAUUGGAAGUGUAUUUUUGCAUAUCCCACCUCCCCUGAGACACCCUCGGAGAGUGGGGUCACGGCCAGGGUCAGCCAUUAUCAGCGGUGACCUUUGGAGCAAUUAGGGUUAAGUGCCUUGCUUAAGGGAACAUCAACAGAUUUUUCACCUCAUCGGCUCAGGGAUUCAAACCCGGGACUUUUCUUACUGCCCUAACACUAUAAUCGCUAGGCUGCCUGCCGCCCAGAUCUCUGCUCUGCUGUUCUGGUUGUGCUGCUUGUGCAUUUUGGACUCACCCCUUGUUACAAAGAUGCAGGGUUGUUGAAUCCAGCAGACUGUUUAGGGGACUGGUAUUGAGUCAAGGAUGAACACAAAUGAGGAGCCUUCCAUUUUAAAAGUGGAUAGCAAAGGCUAGUUUAUAGUGACACCUCGAUGCCUAGGUGUUCCACGUGUUCUAGAAGACAGGGUGGAGGAGGGCAUGACCCAUUAAAGCAGUGGUCCAAACGGCCUGAUUCCAGUGCUGCUGGACUUUUAGCGUUUGCAUCAGGGUCAUUCAACUCUGGCAGGGAGGAUGAUGGAGUCAAACGGCUGGAAACGCUCAGUCCUCUUUUUCUCAUUUGAAUGUAUUUCGGUCCCACUCCAGCCUUGCUGAACUGCUAUGUCAACUCACAUGUUAUCCACUGACUGGGGGAGUUGUGGUAAGAGCAAUGUAACAAGACUAAAUUAUCUUUCAAUGAAAAAGGGUUUGUGGGGGGUUGGAAUAUGGAGAAGAGUUUGAAGGCUCCUGCCUAGAUGGGACACAUCUCACAUAUACACUCAGAAUGUUGUUGUCAAGAUCAAAACGAGGUUGGAUGGGAGAUGAAUAGUUGUAGCUCAGAAUGUUUUGCUGCAGAAACAGUUAUGAUAUAAAGUAGGCCAGAGUAAGAGCGGUGUUUCCCACACCAUGACUCCGUUGGUUCCAACACAACAGGCUGGUGCAGUAGGUAAUGGAUAAGCAUGGCCAGAGUAAGAGCGGUGUUUCCCACACCAUGACUCCGUUGGUUCCAACACAACAGGCUGGUGCAGUAGGUAAUGGAUAAGCAUGGCCAGAGUAAGAGCGGUGUUUCCCACACCAUGACUCCGUUGGUUCCAACACAACAGGCUGGUGCAGUAGGUAAUGGAUAAGCAUGGCCAGAGUAAGAGCGGUGUUUCCCACACCAUGACUCCGUUGGUUCCAACACAACAGGCUGGUGCAGUAGGUAAUGGAUAAGCAUGGCCAGAGUAAGAGCGGUGUUUCCCACACCAUGACUCCGUUGGUUCCAACACAACAGGCUGGUGCAGUAGGUAAUGGAUAAGCAUGGCCAGAGUAAGAGCGGUGUUUCCCACACCAUGACUCCGUUGGUUCCAACACAACAGGCUGGUGCAGUAGGUAAUGGAUAAGCAUGGCCAGAGUAAGAGCGGUGUUUCCCACACCAUGACUCCGUUGGUUCCAACACAACAGGCUGGUGCAGUAGGUAAUGGAUAAGCAUGGCCAGAGUAAUGAGCCAAACAGAAAAAAAGCUUGUAAAGUGAAUUUCAAUUUCAGAUUGAUGGGAAGUGUGGGAUGAUGAUGAUUAGAAGAAAGGAUUGUAACAGGUCGAAUUAGAGGCCCAGCAUUAGAUGAUAUCAGAAUGAUCUCACACGUACAGUAGAAAUACUUCCAGUAUGUUAUGACUCC